CUUCCGUGAUGAUUGUAAAAUGACAAGCAUAUGACUGAGUCUCGAAGUGAUGUCAUCCUCCUACUGAGAAG